UUGAAAUGGUCUAAAUUUUGUUGCUUUGCCCUAAAACUGUAGAUGUAGAUGAUGGUUGGAAGCACUAGUUGAUCACAACCAUAGAGAAUGAUAGCAAACUUUACAUUUGAAUCUCAAUCUCCUUAAAGAGUGGAUUCUCCCCAUAAGAAUAGGGCACUUUCUACUAUUGUGCCCUAAUGUUCCACAUGAUCCACACUUCUUUUUUCUGCCUUUUCUUGAUGCUUUUAACAAGGAGGAGUGUCUGGAUUGUAUUCUCAUAUAAAUGGGAGGCAACUAAAGAGAAAAAUUGUUCAUCAACCAACGAACACACAAAGUAGUGUAUGAGAGGAUUGAAUUCACAUUCAAAUUGAAGAAGGGAGUAGGGCUGGGAUAUGCUAGCUUGUGUAUAAGAGAGGAUGUUACGGGAGAAGUUUUAAAUAUUUUGUAGCUUUAGGUUUUUUUCCCUGCAUAGAAGUGUUUCUUGUUGUAAUACCAAAAUUACCCCUGACAGCAGUAAGUGAUCUGUUUAAAUUGA